UGUUGUACUCUUUCAGGGGUCCAUAGAAAGCAAAAGGGGAAAGAAAUGGGAUCCAUUCUUUACAGCAACAAGCAGAAGAUGGGAUACUUGGAAUUUUAAAAAUUUAAUAUCUGCCUUUCUGAGUUUUGAUCUUGCUUUGGGAGGUUCACUGCAGAGUUUGCCUUGAGCUUCAGAAGACUUUGAACUUGAGUUUUUAGCCCAUAUUGGAGCAACUUGGAGAUGGAGUGAAUGAAUUUUACAUUGUGAGAAGAGCAUCAGUUUUGCAGGCCACGGGAGGAAUGCUGUAGUUUGGAUACUAUCUGUCUCCACAAAGGAUAAACAAUUUGAGAGAACUGUUUGUGGCCUACACUUAUAUGAAUGUGAAAAAAAUGGAUGGAAAGAAAAUUGGGCUUCUGGAAGCAAAUCUAUUUAUGAUAUUGCAACCUAGUUUCAGAGACUGUGACAACUGCACAACGAACAAGUAAUUUGAAGGUUUGCAACUGCAGAAUUAUCUGGGAUCUUAUUAGAAAUGCAGACUACCAAGUAAACCUCAGACCUACAGAAUCAUAAUGUGCAUUUUUACAACAUCCUCAGUCAAUUCGGAUGUCCAUGAAAAUCUGAUAUGCUGCUGUACAUCACUUUGACUUGCCUUCAGUUUUCCCUUUGCCAGUGUGAUGCACUUGGAGGUUGCUCUUUGUUCCAGAAGAGAAGCUGCCUUCAUUCCAUGUCAUAUGCCCACACUGUCUUUAAAGAUAGCAAAGGAGCUCACAGGAGAGUUUGCCUUAAAUCUUGGAGGAGAAUUUACACUUGGACUUUGCAAAUGAAAAAUGCUAAAACUCUUAAGAUUUUGGCAACUUCUAGAGAUGGACUAAAUGUAUUUUGGAUAGAGAGAUGCUCAUAAAUCUUUUGGAGGGCUAGGGUAGAAUAUUAUGGUGUAUAUCUAGAUGUUUUUCCAAAGCCUUAUGUGUUCAUAGGUGGGGCUUUUGAGAAAUGAUUGUGUCAUGUGGCAUGAUAUUCAUAAGUGGUAUAGUCCAAAUGUGACAUUGGGAGGUAAAACUUGGUUCAAAGAAAACAGCCCUG
ensembl:lncRNA